rnacentral:rRNA from 1 species
CACUCUGACCAGCCAUGCCGCGUGCAGGAUGACGGCCCUACGGGUUGUAAACUGCUUUUAUAUGGGAAGAAACCUUUCCACGUGUGGAAAGCUGACGGUACCAUGUGAAUAAGGGUCGGCUAACUCCGUGCCAGCAGCCGCGGUAAUAAUUAA